rnacentral:rRNA from 1 species
GAUGAACGCUGGCGGCGUGCCUAAUACAUGCAAGUCGAGCGAACGGACGAGAAGCUUGCUUCUCUGAUGUUAGCGGCGGACGGGUGAGUAACACGUGGAUAACCUACCUAUAAGACUGGGAUAACUUCGGGAAACCGGAGCUAAUACCGGAUAAUAUUUUGAACCGCAUGGUUCAAAAGUGAAAGACGGUCUUGCUGUCACUUAUAGAUGGAUCUGGGCUGCAUUAGCUAGUUGGUAAGGUAACGGCUUAUCAAGGCAACGAUGCAUAGCCGACCUGUGAGGGUGAUAGGCCACAUUGGAGCUUAACCGCGGUCAAGGCUCCUAAGAGAGGGAGCAGUAGGGUAUCUGCCGCAAUGGGCGAAAGCCUGACGGAGCAACGCGGAGUGAGUGAUGAAGGUCUUCGGUUCGUAAAAAUCUGUUAUGAGGGAAGAACAUAUGUGUAAGUAACUGUGCACAUCUUGACGGUACCUAAUCAGAAAGCCACGGCUAACUACGUG